CAAUAGCGUAUAUUAAAGUUGUUGUGGUUAAAAAGCUCGUAGUUGAACCUUGGGCCUGGCCGUCCGGUCCGCCUCACCGCGUGUACUGGCUCGGCCGGGCCUUUCCCUCUGUGGAACCCCAUGCCCUUCACUGGGCGUGGCGGGGAAACAGGACUUUUACUGUGAAAAAAUUAGAGUGCUCCAGGCAGGCCUAUGCUCGAAUACAUUAGCAUGGAAUAAUAGAAUAGGACGUGUGGUUCUAUUUUGUUGGUUUCUAGGACCGCCGUAAUGAUUAGUAGGGACAGUCGGGGGCAUCAGUAUUCAAUUGUCAGAGGUGAAAUUCUUGGAUUUAUUGAAGACUAACUACUGCGAAAGCAUUUGCCAAGGAUGUUUUCAUUAA
rnacentral:rRNA from 1 species